UAUUAGGUUGGUGCAAAAGUAAUUGCGGUUUCUGCCAUUAAAGGUAAUGGCAAAAACCGCAAUUACUUUUGCACCAGCCUAAUAU
ensembl:miRNA